CAUAGCUAAAACACUUUGUGGCUAAUAACAUACUUCGCCGAAAAGUUUGCUGGAAGAAACAAAACAUUUAGCUGUCCAAAAGAUGAAGAAUAUUUCAGGGCUGGCGGUUCAGUUACUGUUAAUUCUUGCAGCCUUCUUUUCCAGUGUAGCUGCCAAAACCGAAGCAGAAGAAGACAGAGAUGUGAUUAUCAUCUUAGCCGCUGUAGCGCUUGGUGUCCUCGUCAUUGCGUUGUUCCUGCUCCUCAUCAGUUGUUGCUUCUUUUGGAAAAUGUUGAGAAGGGCAGAGAAUCGGAACUAUUAACAGCAAAAUAACUAUCAGCUCAAUUGAACUUUUCUGUUUUUAUAUUUCGCUGCGACAAAGCUAAGCUUGUCGUUAUUCCAAUAUCAGCUCCCUAGUAUUCUGCGGUGCUUUGGUAGAAUAUAAACGAACGAUUGCUUGUUUAGUGGAAGCAGUGUUAGCUACAUACUAAGACGAGACGAUUCAAUGGAAGAAAAAGAAGAGAAACAAUAUAUAUAUAUCCUCAAUCAGCUAUUGAGUGCUCGCCUCAUCGAGCUCCUAUUAAUGUCCUGUAUGUUUCGAAAUGAAAAUUAAAAGAAUGGUAUUUUGUUA